rnacentral:rRNA from 1 species
UUAAGCGACUAAGCGUACACGGUGGAUGCCCUGGCAGUCAGAGGCGAUGAAGGACGUGCUAAUCUGCGAUAAGCGUCGGUGAGGUGAUAUGAACCGUUAUAACCGGCGAUUUCCGAAUGGGGAAACCCAGUGUGUUUCGACACACUAUCAUUAACUGAAUCCAUAGGUUAAUGAGGCGAACCGGGGGAACUGAAACAUCUAAGUACCCCGAGGAAAAGAAAUCAACCGAGAUUCCCCCAGUAGCGGCGAGCGAACGGGGAGGAGCCCAGAGCCUGAAUCAGUGUGUGUGUUAGUGGAAGCGUCUGGAAAGGCGCGCGAUACAGGGUGACAGCCCCGUACACAAAAAUGCACAUACUGUGAGCUCGAUGAGUAGGGCGGGACACGUGGUAUCCUGUCUGAAUAUGGGGGGACCAUCCUCCAAGGCUAAAUACUCCUGACUGACCGAUAGUGAACCAGUACCGUGAGGGAAAGGCGAAAAGAACCCCGGCGAGGGGAGUGAAAAAGAACCUGAAACCGUGUACGUACAAGCAGUGGGAGCCUCUUAAUGGGGUGACUGCGUACCUUUUGUAUAAUGGGUCAGCGACUUAUAUUCUGUAGCAAGGUUAACCGAAUAGGGGAGCCGAAGGGAAACCGAGUCUUAACUGGGCGUUAAGUUGCAGGGUAUAGACCCGAAACCCGGUGAUCUAGCCAUGGGCAGGUUGAAGGUUGGGUAACACUAACUGGAGGACCGAACCGACUAAUGUUGAAAAAUUAGCGGAUGACUUGUGGCUGGGGGUGAAAGGCCAAUCAAACCGGGAGAUAGCUGGUUCUCCCCGAAAGCUAUUUAGGUAGCGCCUCGUGAAUUCAUCUCCGGGGGUAGAGCACUGUUUCGGCAAGGGGGUCAUCCCGACUUACCAACCCGAUGCAAACUGCGAAUACCGGAGAAUGUUAUCACGGGAGACACACGGCGGGUGCUAACGUCCGUCGUGAAGAGGGAAACAACCCAGACCGCCAGCUAAGGUCCCAAAGUCAUGGUUAAGUGGGAAACGAUGUGGGAAGGCCCAGACAGCCAGGAUGUUGGCUUAGAAGCAGCCAUCAUUUAAAGAAAGCGUAAUAGCUCACUGGUCGAGUCGGCCUGCGCGGAAGAUGUAACGGGGCUAAACCAUGCACCGAAGCUGCGGCAGCGACACUAUGUGUUGUUGGGUAGGGGAGCGUUCUGUAAGCCUGUGAAGGUGUACUGUGAGGUAUGCUGGAGGUAUCAGAAGUGCGAAUGCUGACAUAAGUAACGAUAAAGCGGGUGAAAAGCCCGCUCGCCGGAAGACCAAGGGUUCCUGUCCAACGUUAAUCGGGGCAGGGUGAGUCGACCCCUAAGGCGAGGCCGAAAGGCGUAGUCGAUGGGAAACAGGUUAAUAUUCCUGUACUUGGUGUUACUGCGAAGGGGGGACGGAGAAGGCUAUGUUGGCCGGGCGACGGUUGUCCCGGUUUAAGCGUGUAGGCUGGUUUUCCAGGCAAAUCCGGAAAAUCAAGGCUGAGGCGUGAUGACGAGGCACUACGGUGCUGAAGCGACAAAUGCCCUGCUUCCAGGAAAAGCCUCUAAGCAUCAGGUAACAUCAAAUCGUACCCCAAACCGACACAGGUGGUCAGGUAGAGAAUACCAAGGCGCUUGAGAGAACUCGGGUGAAGGAACUAGGCAAAAUGGUGCCGUAACUUCGGGAGAAGGCACGCUGAUAUGUAGGUGAAGCGACUUGCUCGUGGAGCUGAAAUCAGUCGAAGAUACCAGCUGGCUGCAACUGUUUAUUAAAAACACAGCACUGUGCAAACACGAAAGUGGACGUAUACGGUGUGACGCCUGCCCGGUGCCGGAAGGUUAAUUGAUGGGGUUAGCGGUAACGCGAAGCUCUUGAUCGAAGCCCCGGUAAACGGCGGCCGUAACUAUAACGGUCCUAAGGUAGCGAAAUUCCUUGUCGGGUAAGUUCCGACCUGCACGAAUGGCGUAAUGAUGGCCAGGCUGUCUCCACCCGAGACUCAGUGAAAUUGAACUCGCUGUGAAGAUGCAGUGUACCCGCGGCAAGACGGAAAGACCCCGUGAACCUUUACUAUAGCUUGACACUGAACAUUGAGCCUUGAUGUGUAGGAUAGGUGGGAGGCUUUGAAGUGUGGACGCCAGUCUGCAUGGAGCCGACCUUGAAAUACCACCCUUUAAUGUUUGAUGUUCUAACGUGGGCCCCUUACCGGGGUUGCGGACAGUGUCUGGUGGGUAGUUUGACUGGGGCGGUCUCCUCCUAAAGAGUAACGGAGGAGCACGAAGGUUGGCUAAUCCUGGUCGGACAUCAGGAGGUUAGUGCAAUGGCAUAAGCCAGCUUGACUGCGAGCGUGACGGCGCGAGCAGGUGCGAAAGCAGGUCAUAGUGAUCCGGUGGUUCUGAAUGGAAGGGCCAUCGCUCAACGGAUAAAAGGUACUCCGGGGAUAACAGGCUGAUACCGCCCAAGAGUUCAUAUCGACGGCGGUGUUUGGCACCUCGAUGUCGGCUCAUCACAUCCUGGGGCUGAAGUAGGUCCCAAGGGUAUGGCUGUUCGCCAUUUAAAGUGGUACGCGAGCUGGGUUUAGAACGUCGUGAGACAGUUCGGUCCCUAUCUGCCGUGGGCGCUGGAGAACUGAGGGGGGCUGCUCCUAGUACGAGAGGACCGGAGUGGACGCAUCACUGGUGUUCGGGUUGUCAUGCCAAUGGCACUGCCCGGUAGCUAAAUGCGGAAGAGAUAAGUGCUGAAAGCAUCUAAGCACGAAACUUGCCCCGAGAUGAGUUCUCCCUGACU